rnacentral:rRNA from 1 species
UGACCUCAAAUCAGGUAGGACUACCCGCUGAACUUAAGCAUAUCAAUAAGCGGAGGAAAAGAAACUAACAAGGAUUCCCCUAGUAACUGCGAGUGAAGCGGGAAAAGCUCAAAUUUAAAAUCUGGCAGUCUUUGGCUGUCCGAGUUGUAAUCUAGAGAAGUGCUAUCCGCGCUGGACCGUGUACAAGUCUCCUGGAAUGGAGCGUCAUAGAGGGUGAGAAUCCCGUCUUUGACACGGACUGCCAGGGCUUUGUGAUACGCUCUCAAAGAGUCGGGUUGUUUGGGAAUGCAGCUCAAAAUGGGUGGUAAAUUCCAUCUAAAGCUAAAUAUUGGCGAGAGACCGAUAGCGAACAAGUACCGUGAGGGAAAGAUGAAAAGAACUUUGGAAAGAGAGUUAAACAGUACGUGAAAUUGCUGAAAGGGAAACGCUUGAAGUCAGUCGCGUUGUCCAGGGAUCAACCUUGCUUUUGCUUGGUGCACUUUCUGGUUGACGGGUCAGCAUCAAUUUUGACUAUUGGAAAAAGAUUAGGGGAAUGUGACAUCUUUGGAUGUGUUAUAGCCCUUGGUUGCAUACAAUGGUUGGGAUUGAGGAACUCAGCACGCCGCAAGGCCGGGUUUAAACCACGUACGUGCUUAGGAUG